AUGUCGGAUAAAAUUCUAGGUAGAUUUUGAUAAUGACAUUCUACCAAUGCUUGACCAAAUUGCGUGCCAGCAGUCGCGGUAAUACGCAGAAGAUUAGUGUUAUUCAUCUUUAAUUGGUUUAAAGGGUACCUAGACGGUAAAUUAAGCUGAACUAAUUGCUAGAGUUUGUAUGUAAAGGAAGUACUGUUGACUUAGCGAUGAAAUGCUGUGACGCGUGAACAGGUUUAGGCGAAAGCAUAUCCUUAUGUAAAAACUGACGUUGAAGAACGAAGGCUAUUAACACGGAAAAGGAUUAGAUACCCCAGUACUAUUAGCAGAAAAUGAUGAAUGUCAUAGGUUAGAUCUAUAAACGAAAGUGUAAGCAUUCCACCUCAAGAGUAAUUUGGCAACAUUGGAAUUGAAAUCAUUAGACCGUAUCUGAAACCAGUAGUGAAGUAUGUUGUUUAAUUUGAUAACCCGCAAAGAACCUUACCACAGUUUGAACAAGCGUUGCACGGCUGUCUUCAGUUAAUGUCGUGAGAUUUUGGUUAGUUCCAUUAAAUUAACGUAAACCCUUACUUUAUUUAGAGGGACUAAGACAAGUC
rnacentral:rRNA from 1 species